UCUCCGUUGGUGAACCAGCGGAGGGAUCAUUACCGAGUUUACAACUCCCAAACACAAGGUGAACCAUACCAAACUGUUGCCUCGGCGGGGUCACGCCCCGGGUGCGUCGCAGCCCCGGAACCAGGCGCCCGCCGGAGGGACCAACCAAACUCUUUCUGUAGUCCCCUCGCGGACGUUAUUUUUACAGCUCUGAGCAAAAAUUCAAAAUGAAUCAAAACUUUCAACAACGGAUCUCUUGGUUCUG
rnacentral:misc_RNA from 1 species